GUGGCGAACGGGUGAGUAACACGUGAGUAACCUGCCCCAGACUCCGGGAUAAGCCUUGGAAACGAGGUCUAAUACUGGAUAUGAGAUGCCCCUGCAUGGGGAGUGUCUGGAAAGAUUUAUCGGUCUGGGAUGGACUCGCGGCCUAUCAGCUUGUUGGUGGGGUAAUGGCCUACCAAGGCGACGACGGGUAGCCGGCCUGAGAGGGCGACCGGCCACACUGGGACUGAGACACGGCCCAGACUCCUACGGGAGGCAGCAGUGGGGAAUAUUGCACAAUGGGCGAAAGCCUGAUGCAGCGACGCCGCGUGAGGGAUGAAGGCCUUCGGGUUGUAAACCUCUUUCAGCAGGGAAGAAGCGCAAGUGACGGUACCUGCAGAAGAAGCGCCGGCUAACUACGUGCCAGCAGCCGCGGUAAUACGUAGGGCGCAAGCGUUGUCCGGAAUUAUUGGGCGUAAAGAGCUCGUAGGCGGUUUGUCGCGUCUGGUGUGAAAACUCAAGGCUCAACCUUGAGCUUGCAUCGGGUACGGGCAGACUAGAGUGCGGUAGGGGUGACUGGAAUUCCUGGUGUAGCGGUGGAAUGCGCAGAUAUCAGGAGGAACACCGAUGGCGAAGGCAGGUCACUGGGCCGCAACUGACGCUGA
rnacentral:rRNA from 1 species